rnacentral:lncRNA from 1 species
CUUCUCAGUACAGUAAAACCCUGGUGGUACUAUUUCACUGGGAAGUAGUUUGGCAGUGACUUAAGUUCAGAAGCUGGCAGUGAGUUCUGGCAGCUUUGCAAAGCUUUGACUGUUCUUGGGAUGAUCUGACUAGAUGUUCUUCUCAUUAUGCCUCUAGAAUGCAUGUUGGAAAGAAUUUCCAUCUGCUGAGGAACAGUAAUGUAAAAUUGAAUUCUUAGAAUAUUUCUUCUAGUAAGUAUUUGUUUCUUCUAGUUUUUCUUGUAUCCUAAUGUCAAGGUGUCUUUAACUUUC